GGUCAGUUAAGGUAAAGGGGGUCAGGAAGGGUAUAGUGUGAUCAGGUAGGCUGUAGAUUGGUCAGGCAGUGUAGUCAGGUAAGUUGUAGGGUGAUCAGGUAGGGUAACAGGUGGUCUGGUAGGUUCUAGGGUGGUCAGGUAGGUUCUAGGGUGGUCAGGUAGGGUGGAGGGUGGUCAGGUAGGCUGUAGUUUUUUCAAACAGUGUGGUCAGGUAGGGUGGAGGGUGACCAGGUAGGGUGGAGGGUGACCUGCCCCAGCUCAACUCUCUGUUUUUGUAUAUCUGCAGUACAUUUCUACUCUUGCAUUAGUCCUCAUCCAUUGGCCAUUUGGGUUAGCAUGAAACCUAACUAUAUUUGGCACAGAAAAAUAAACAGGAACAUAAUACAAUAUCCCACCUCCUUGGCUUUGGGCAGGGGCUGAAGGUAUGCAUGUUGAUCAGUAGGGGCUGAAGGUAUGCAUGUUGAUCAGUAGGGGCUGAAGGUAUGCAUGUUGAUCAGUAGGGGCUGAAGGUAUGCAUGUUGAUCAG
ensembl:lncRNA